rnacentral:rRNA from 1 species
GGCGGACGGGUGAGUAACGCGUGGGAAUCUGCCUACUAGCGGGGGAUAGCCCGGAGAAAUCCGGAUUAAUACCGCAUACGCCCUACGGGGGAAAGCUGGGGAUCUUCGGACCUGGCACUAGUAGAUGAGCCCGCGUUAGAUUAGCUUGUUGGUGGGGUAAUGGCCUACCAAGGCGACGAUCUAUAGCUGGUCUGAGAGGACGAUCAGCCACACUGGGACUGAGACACGGCCCAG